GACGAACGCUGGCGGCAGGCUUAACACAUGCAAGUCGAGCGGGCGAGGUUGCUUCGGUAACUGAGCUAGCGGCGGACGGGUGAGUAAAGCUUAGGAAUCUGCCUAUUAGUGGGGGACAACAUUUCGAAAGGGAUGCUAAUACCGCAUACGUCCUACGGGAGAAAGCAGGGGAUCACUUGUGACCUUGCGCUAAUAGAUGAGCCUAAGUCGGAUUAGCUAGUUGGUGGGGUAAAGGCCUACCAAGGCGACGAUCUGUAGCGGGUCUGAGAGGAUGAUCCGCCACACUGGGACUGAGACACGGCCCAGACUCCUACGGGAGGCAGCAGUGGGGAAUAUUGGACAAUGGGGGGAACCCUGAUCCAGCCAUGCCGCGUGUGUGAAGAAGGCCUUUUGGUUGUAAAGCACUUUAAGUGGGGAGGAGGCUCUCUUGGUUAAUACCUAAGAAGAGUGGACGUUACCCACAGAAUAAGCACCGGCUAACUCUGUGCCAGCCGCCGCCGUAA
rnacentral:rRNA from 1 species